UACGUAGGGUGCAAGCGUUGUCCGGAAUUAUUGGGCGUAAAGAGCUCGUAGGCGGCUUGUCGCGUCUGCUGUGAAAAUCCGGGGCUCAACCCCGGACUUGCAGUGGGUACGGGCAGACUAGAGUGUGGUAGGGGAGACUGGAAUUCCUGGUGUAGCGGUGAAAUGCGCAGAUAUCAGGAGGAACACCAAUGGCGAAGGCAGAUCUCUGGGCCGUAACUGACGCUGAGGAGCGAAAGCAUGGGGAGCGAACAGG
rnacentral:rRNA from 1 species